UGUAUGUAUGUAUGUAUGUAUGUAUGUAUGCAUGUAUUAAUACAGUCAACUCUCGCUACUAUGCCACCCUGCGGGACUGAGCCAAAGUGGCAUAGUACCGAGAGUGGCAUAGCACCGAGGGUCUGUUAUCUAAACACUACAUAACCAAAAAUUUACUGAACAUAUGA